CGGUCAUCAAGGACUCAUAGCAAGUCCCGAUUAUCACAAGAAGAAGAAAAUCGCUCUAGAUCAAGGGAUGCUGAUUAUGGGAAGAGGCGGAGGCUUACUUCUGAAUAGUUGAAUCAUUCAGCAUACGUGCUUUAAACUAUAUAGAGUUUGGCUUUCCAUGUUCAUUUGGGUUCUCUCUUCGAUGUUCUGGGCUCUUUGAUUCAUCAUUACCUUUUGCCUAUGCUGUUCAUUGUCUGAACUCCGGCAUAUGUCUUCUACCUACAGGAGCAUGGCUUGAUUUGG
rnacentral:misc_RNA from 1 species